UGACCUGUCAAAUUCAACGUCUCCAUUGGAGUUAGCUACCCUUUCUUUAUUACUUGUGUACUAAUAAUCAAUACUAUUUGCCUUCACUUUCCUGAACAAGAUUAGUUUCAGUGUAGUAUUGGUGGGAAAAGCAUUUAUGAGGAUAAUGCAACGCAGAGUAUUGAGCCAAAAUUUGUGCAGUUUGAUUUGAAGGUGCAGUGGUGAGAAUGGGGCGUGGUGUUUGCAAUGCAGGAGGACAAAGCUCAUUGGGCUACCUCUUUGGAGGAGCUUCUCUACCAACAGAAGAUACUCCUGCAAACAAUGGCAAUAACAACAAACUAAUUUCAAACACCCACAUUACAGAUACAGACACUCAAAAUAGAGGAAAAUCCAAUACUAGGACUUCUAUAAAAGUGCAGAGCGUACCAGGAGGAGAUUCUUCUCUUGGCUAUCUUUUUGGAGGACAGAAAUGAGAAGCUGUGCUCGUCGUAUCAUAUUUCAUGGUAUAUAUUGAAAUUGCUGCUUUGUCGAUUGUUAACUUAUGUGUGAAAUAAAGGUUUGCCUAAGAAGGAAACGAUGGCCUUUGUACAUCUCAUAGUGCAGAAUUAUUGUUCUUUAACUGCAUUGAGAUUUGUUUGUGGAUAGUUUCAAACAAUUCUGCAGACUAUUGUUUCUUUAUCUUGAUGUAUUUCUAUACCUUUCAUUCAAAUAUGUUUUCACUCUUCUCUCC